GAUGAACGCUGGCGGCGUGCCUAAUACAUGCAAGUCGAGCGAACAGAUAAGGAGCUUGCUCCUUUGACGUUAGCGGCGGACGGGUGAGUAACACGUGGGUAACCUACCUAUAAGACUGGAAUAACUCCGGGAAACCGGGGCUAAUGCCGGAUAAAAUUUAGAACCGCAUGGUUUUAAAGUGAAAGAUGGUUUUGCUACCCAUUAUAGUUGGACCCGCUCCGUUUUAGCUAGUUGGUAAGGUAACGGCUUACCAAGGCAACGAUACGUAGCGGACCUGAGAGGGGGAUCGGCCACACUGGAACGGAGACACGGUCCAGACCCCUACGGGAGGCAGCAGUAGGGAAUCUUCCGCAAUGGGCGAAAGCCUGACGGGGCAACGCCGCGUAAGUGAUGAAGGUCUUCGGAUCGUAAAACUCUGUUAUUAGGGAAGAACAAAUGUGUAAGUAACUGUGCACGUCUUGACGGUACCUAAUCAGAAAGCCACGGCUAACUACGUG
rnacentral:rRNA from 1 species